rnacentral:pre_miRNA from 2 species
UCUUAUAGAUGAGCCAAGAAAGUGGUUUCUUGAGAUGGAAUCUACUCCUGGUGAAGAUGCUAUGAA